AACAUACUCCCUCCGUCCCAUAAUUCUUGUCUCAAAUUUGCCCAAAUAUGAAUGUAUGUAUUCCAAAAAAAUGUCUAAAUACGUGUAAUAUUUCAACAAGAAUUAUGGGACGGAGAGAGUAUAAA
rfam:Brachypodium distachyon strain Bd21 chromosome 2, whole genome shotgun sequence.